rnacentral:rRNA from 1 species
GAUGAACGCUGGCGGCGUGCCUAAUACAUGCAAGUCGAGCGAACAGACGAGGAGCUUGCUCCUCUGACGUUAGCGGCGGACGGGUGAGUAACACGUGGAUAACCUACCUAUAAGACUGGGAUAACUUCGGGAAACCGGAGCUAAUACCGGAUAAUAUAUUGAACUGCAUGGUUCAAUAGUGAAAGACGGUUUUGCUGUCACUUAUAGAUGGAUCCGCGCCGCAUUAGCUAGUUGGUAAGGUAACAGCUUACCAAGGCAACGAUGCGUAGCCGACCUGAGAGGGUGAUCGGCCACACUGGAACUGAGACACGGUCCAGACUCCUACGGGAGGCAGCAGUAGGGAAUCUUCCGCAAUGGGCGAAAGCCUGACGGAGCAACGCCGCGUGAGUGAUGAAGGUCUUCGGAUCGUAAAACUCUGUUAUUAGGGAAGAACAAAUGUGUAAGUAACUAUGCACGUCUUGACGGUACCUAAUCAGAAAGCCACGGCUAACUACGUG